UUCAGCUCGCCCACUGAACUUCUGAAAGAUGCACAGGCUAGAAUGAGUACAAGUAAACUGGAAAUUCACUUUGCCUUCGUGCCUUUGCAGAGGGUGAUGGGGAGCCCGAGGUGGGGAGCUUAAAAGGAGGGGCUGCAGGAGGCACUGGUGCCCGCUAGUGGGCCGUGUAGCGGGGUGGGGCUUCGCGGCGAGCAGAGGGCCCCGGUGGGGGAGCCCACCGUCGUCUUUUUACGCCUCGGCGCUCCACGGGAAACCAGGAUGAAUUCGCUCCAGACACUGGUGCUCAGAAGGCCUUUCUUUCCUUUGCCUAUCUACACACUGAUUUGGAUGUUGGCAGUGAUGAGGCUGUGCAAGACACAAGUGUUCACUGAAAAUAA